GCUAACUCGACUUUCUGUUUUUGUUUUUUCAGUGUUUGAAGUCGGUGCUAGAAAACUUGUUAAUGAUGAGUGGAAAUGGCACGAGCAUUGGAUCCAUUGUGGACAACUUCGGAAUAACAACCUGUAACUCAAACUCACAGGAUUCAGUUCGUCCAUAUGUCAAUUGUAUUACGAAAUAUCUUAGUGAGCAGGUUAGUAUUUUCUCU